AGACAUUUCUAAUCAAUUCCAGCAAUCCUUCCUCUUGACCCAGGAUAUUUAUGCCUCAGAGUCCUGUGCCCCAGGCAGCUGUUAGCAGAUGGGACGACUGAAUGAUGAAACCUCUUUGCUGUGUCUGGGGUGGUGAAGGGCAUAAGCUUUGCAGGCAAAUGUGUUUAGGAGGUUCAAAUCCCAGUUUUGCCACUUAGAAGUUGUGGGACAUAGAGCAAGAUACUUACAAUAUUUAGGUGAUUCUGAGGUGCAUUAAACUAUCCGAACUACAAGCCAGAAGGCAAAGGAGAGCGGCUGGGCAAGGAGAAGUGCGGGAGUGAGAUUGUGACCAAGUGGGGGCAGACCUGAUGAAAUUAGAGAAGGCACCUCCCCGUCAAGGAAGCUUUAUACGUGGGACGCCUACCACAGCAUGGCUGCCAAGCAGUGCCAUGUCCGCACCCGGGAUCCGAACCAGCGAACCCCGGGCCGCCAAGAAGCGGAACGUGCGAACUUAACCGCUGCGCCACCGGGCCGGCCCCUCUUGCCUCCAAUUCUGAUUCAGAACCCCAGGAGUUCCAAGGAUGUACUCCAGGGACCACCAAGUGGGAGAGUUCUGGGCCCCCAUAUCUGUGUCUGCCCCUCUAUUCUUCAUCAUCUCCAACUCUCAGCUGUAAACUGAGCAGCUCACUUUUAUCUAUUUUAUCUAUUGGAAUUUUACAUACAAUUUUAUUUGAAGAAAGUCAUGGUGCUUAAAAACAGAUUUGAAUAUUGUUGGUUGAGAGAAUGAUGCCCAAGCAAGGCCAAUUACAGCAUGAAUACUGCACAUAUCACACUUAUAAUUGUAUUUUGAGAGAGUGAACUAUGGCUGCAAUAAACAACCACAUGCAGGAAAUAUGAUUAGAAUGGUUCUAAAAGGCCCUGAUUCCUACUAGCCUGUUAUUAUUGAAGGAAAUUUCUCCAUUAUAGACCUAUUGAUCUGGGCUGAAGCAUUUUAAUCAGUAUACAGGAAUGUUAUCAUAGCUAUGGUUGUGUUUGCCCUUUGUGCCUCUUGACUGACCUCCUUGUGGUAACAAAACCCCUAUUUCCAGUGGGGAGCCCAUUCCCAGUGCUUUAGGGUGGGUAUAGGACCCAAGGCUGACUAAUGAGUAUGCGUAAUUCACCUGGCCAUAGUAAAGGAUUCAGGGAUGAUAUAUGAUUAAGCUGGGCCAAUCAGAGCCCAUCUUGAGAUUUUUAUUGGAAUUAUUGGGACCACUAGCUGUAAGGAUGAGGUAAAUCUAGAGCUGCUGGUGGCCCUCUUUGCCAUCACAUAAGAACACCAUGCCUUAAAAUGAAGCCAAGACCAAAAAGGCAGAACUGAGAAAUGGCAAUAGAUUUCUGAGGACAUUGUCUAAACCCUGGACUCAGCUCUUUCUGGAGUUAGUUUACCCCUUGAACUUCCCAUCUAUGUAAAUUUCCUUUGUGUUUAAGUGUGAGUUGAAUUUCUCUCUGUUACCGCUGAGAGUCACAGCCCAAUCACUGCAUGAUUUUUGCUGAUGAAGUUUCUGAGCAGGGUUGUUGGGGAAAGAGAAAAGACUGGGCCCUCCCUAGAGAAGCAAACAAGAUUGAGAGGGGCUGCAGAGCUGUGGAGGCAGCUUGAAGGGCCCCUCUGAGGAACUGGAGAGUGGACUGGCUGGAGAGUGCUCUGUCAGUGUUACCUGGGCCAGAACUGAUGGCAUAAGGGCAAUGGAGCUGGGAGCUGAGUGCAGAUGGGAAAACCUUGAUACCAUUCCUGGAUCCAUGAGCACCAACUCCCAGGGGCAGCAGAAGAUCCAAUGAAGCAAUGUCACAAAAAGUCAAAAGUCUCUUAGCAUUGUGAUCCAUGCCAGUCUUUCUGAUCUAUCUAGUCGAUUAAAUUAUUCCUGUGAUAAAACAGUCAGGCAAAUAUAUAGUCACCAGAAUUCAGCCUUUACAUGUUAUUGACAUUUCUAAAGCUUACAGGUUGAUGUGUUUCAUUUAUGACUUGUGCACUCUAUGUUAAAAAUCAGUUCUAUCUCCCUUCUCCACCCUUCUUUUUUUCCAGGAGGGCAGUAUUAUAAACCCAGUUUACAGUCCCACGUGAGAACAAUGGUAAUCAGAUUACGGGGCAGAAAUGGGUUUCCUCCGUGGUAACCAGAGUAUUUCUGAGUUGCUGUUUCUGAGAGAAGGGCCAGGCUUGGGCAGGCAUCAUCUGAACGGCGGGCUGGGCUCCGCAGCUGGUUCUUUACUCAGGCUGCUGCUUAUUUCCCUUGUUCCCAGGGCAGCUUCAAUAAGAUCUCGGGGAAGGAUAACUGGGAAUGGAAUAAAUGUUGCCACUGAAAUAAAUGCAAGUAAAAAUCCACAGGAUCACUUGUCCAGGAGCAGGGGUGAAAGCAAAUACAGAAACUCAAAGCUUUCAGUUAAUAGACUGGCCAGCUGUGGGAGGGCAAGUCCAUUGUUGGAAACUGCCUAUUGUCACAAUCCUGAUACAGUAAUGACUUAUUUUAUUCCCUCUGAAGCUGGGUAUAUCAGAGACCAAAAGUAUCCUUAGCAUAAAUCAUUCCUUUUCCAGCAUUUGACAGCCCCUGUCUCAAACUCAAUUAGUCAUCAGGCACAAGGAAAGCUAAGAUCAUCACAGAUUCACACAUGUUUAAUGGAUAAAGCAUGACUGGGGAGAGAUUUCCUCUGUUUAAUCUCUGCUGUUUAGAGUUCAUUAGUAGAUCACGUGGCUAUUAAAAUAAAUAGGGCAGUGGAAAUUUAUUUUGGGCAGCAUUAAGCAGAUGUGUUCUAUUUGAAACAAUUGAACGAAAUUUAUCCCAGAGAGGUGUAAGGAAGGC
rnacentral:lncRNA from 1 species